rnacentral:rRNA from 1 species
CCUACGGGGAGCAGCAGUCGAGAAUCAUUCACAAUGGGGGAAACCCUGAUGGUGCGACGCCGCGUGGGGGAAUGAAGGUCUUCGGAUUGUAAACCCCUGUCAUGUGGGAGCAAAUUAAAAAGAUAGUACCACAAGAGGAAUAGCCGGCUAACUCUGUGCCAGCAGCCGCGGUAAUACAGAGGUCCCAAGCGUUGUUCGGAAGCACUGGGCGUAAAGCGUGCGUAGGCUGUUUCGUAAGUCGGGUGUGAAAGGCGCGGGCUCAACCCGCGGACGGCAACUGAUACUGCGUGACUAGAGUUAGGGAGAGGGAACCGGAAUUCGCGGUGUAGCAGUGAAAUGCGUAGAUAUCGAGAGGAACACUCGUGGCGAAGGCGGGUUCCUGGACAUUAACUGACGCUGAUGCACGGAGGCCAGGGGAGCGAAAGGGAUUAGAUACCCGAGUAGUC